AAAAAAAGAACAAUAAAUGUGUAGACAUGUCCGAGGUUAUUACGUAAGAUGGCUUGUUCCAAACGAUCAUCGGUGUAUUCCGAGUGUGCCAAUUGUAAGUUUGAUAGCUAAAGGCUUCGACUAGUAAAUCAAGAGGCUUUAAUUGUUCAUCUGAGUUAAAACCCCGUAGCAGAAAACAUUCAUUCUUGACACGACGGGUUUUGCGAAUGUCUCACCGCAACCAGCGAUACAUUUUUACUGGUGGUAGGACCUUUUGUGAGUCCGCGCGGGUAGGUACCGCCACCCUGCCUAUUUCUGCCGUGAAGCAGUAAUGCGUUUCGGUUUGAAGGGUGGGGCAGCCGUUGUAACUUACUUGAGACCUUAGAACUUAUAUCUCAAGGUGGGUGGCGCAUUUACGUUGUGGAUGUCAUGGGCUCCAGUAACCACUUAACACCAGGUGGGCUGUGAGCUCGUCCACCCAUCUAAGCAAUAAAUAAAAAAACAUUUUCAAUUCCAAAUACACAAAUAAAAAAAAUUUUUAUCAAGAAAUUCGCAUUAAACUGCGAAUAUACAUAUCAUAUUUAAACAGGCAGAUCCAAAACAUCCCCUUUAUCUGCUAUGUUAGACCGGUUUUUAUCUUGUUUAGCGGCCACUGAUGAAUUUUAGUUGGGAGUCACAUGAAAAAAAAAAAACUAAAAUCAGUUAAUUUCGCAUCUACGCUAAAAAUAGACAAAAAAAAAAAAACAACAAUAAAACCGAAACAGAAUAUCCAAUACGUGAAUUAUAUCGAAAUAUUAAAUUGCUAAUGAAUUUAAUCGAUACGAUAAAAAUAGAAAACAAAACAAUGAUAAAACUAAAACAGAAUAUCCAAUGCGUGAAUUAAAUCGAAAUAUUAAAUUGCCAGUGAAUAUUAAAUUGUCGAUUAACGACACAACCGCUGAUAUAACCGCAAUGUUAUAUAAUGAGUGUUUAAAAUGUUAUUGAACUUGAAUACGCUAAAACAUCAGGGUAUGACGUAGUUAGUGCAUAUCGUAUGAGACCUAUGCAUACAACAGCGACGCGCGUUGCUUCGAACACGUCUUUAGUUAUCGAAAAAAAUAUAUUAGAUAUAAAUUGAUGAUAUUUUGGACGUAGGUAGCUGUAGUCUAGACUCUAGAACGUAGCUGUAGUAAAACUCUAAUAAAACAAGUGUUUCUUGUGUGUAAAACUUGUUUAGUGCGAUAGCUUGUGAUAGAAAAAAAUACAUUAAAGAGAUGUUCUCUAAAAUUAUUCGUCGUAGUUUCUGUGUUGCCAGAAAAAAUGUAUGGACUCCCGAUAAUGUGGUGUAUUCUCCCUAUCGGGAUAUAGAAGUGCCCGAUACUACAAUAUACGAGUAUGUGUUUAGAAAUCUGGAUAAAUGGGCAACGAAAACAGCUGUGGUAUGUGGCGUUACAAACCGCGCCUACACUUUUGAAGAACUUUACAAAUGUUCGCGUACUCUUGGUGCUAAUCUGCGAAAGAAAUUCAAAUUAAGAGACGGUGACGUCAUCGCAAUACUUCUACCGAACGUUCCAGAGUAUCCUGUGUCCGUGUUUGGCGUACUAGCGGCUGGGGGUAUAGUCACAACUAUAAACCCAAUUUACACGCCAUACGAAAUACAACGACAGCUGGACACAUCGGGCGCUAAGAUUGUGAUAACCCUGCCAGAUUUGGUUCCCAACGUCAAAAAAUCUUUAGAACUAUCAAAGAAGGAUCUGAAAAUCAUUGCUGUGAAUAUCGACAGUCAACAGCCAGAAGGGACGAUAUCAUUUAAAGAACUGACAGAGGAUAAGCACAUUGAUUUUGAAAUUCUAAAGGAGGUUAAAAGGGUGUCGGAUGAUAUCGCUUUUAUGGUUUAUUCAAGUGGCACGACCGGACUCCCUAAGGCAGUUGAAUUAACGCACACCAAUAAAGUUGCUAAUUUUUCGCAACAGGACACCGAAUUGAGGCAAUAUGAAUAUACGACAGAAACAAACCAGGAUUCGACGCUGGGCCUCCUACCGUUGUUCCACACUUACGGCCUUUCGGUUGUGAUGAUGCACAAGCUAUCGGUCGGAUUGAAACUGGUAACACUUCCGAGUUUCCAACCACGGACCUUUCUGGAUGCGCUGCUGAAACACCCGAUGGAAUUGAUGUACCUUGCUCCACCUACUAUUUUGUUCCUCGGCGCGCAUCCUGCAGCUACGAGGGAUCAUUUAAAGCAUUUGAAAGUGGUAACUUCGGGCGCCGCGCCACUACCUGAAGCAGAUAUCCACAAAUUUUUAGAGAAAGCGCGGCCCGAUAUCCAGUUCAACCAAGCCUAUGGAAUGACUGAAGCCAGUCCCCUGGUGACGUUAGGAUCGAGAGACUUCGAGAGAAACUACUCUGAUGUGGGUUGUGCUGUGCCGAAUGUUCAGCUCAGAGUCGUCGAUGCAGACAUGAAGAAUUUAGGCCCGGAUGAGGUCGGCGAGCUGCCCAUUAAGGGCCCGAACGUCAUGCGAGGGUACAAAGACAAUCCAAAAGCAAACGAGGAGGUGUUUGUUGACGGACGCUGGUACCGGAGCGGAGACCUCGCCCGCAUUAACAAAGACGGCAUUGUUACCAUUGUCGACAGACUCAAGGAACUUAUUAAGGUAAUAUAUUUGUCUAACGAUACGUAGACAAUUAAAUUCCAUCAUUUGUCGAUAGUAGUUCAGGUUUUUAGUGCUUUUGUAGGCAGAUGAGCACAGGGUCCACCAGGUGUUUUUUUUCCUGUUCUGGUGACCUCGAGGGGUCAUGCUAGAUUCACCGAAGGAGUACGUGAGCUCACGGGGCUCUAAGCUAACGACGUUGCUAACACUAGCCCUAGCAAGAGCAAUGCUUCGCAGAAUCUACCACCGGAUCAGAAUCGCGAUACGCUGAGAAAAUCCGGAGAGAAACUCAGUGGGCUGUGUCUGUGCGUUUACUCGCCGAGGCCUUCGUCACAAGCGACGGGUUCGACAAAAACGGUGACCAUGCUUGGGGUACCUAAAUACCGUUAUUGGAUCGAGAGGAUCCGAAAUGACGUGUUUAGGGCGACGUCGACCAAAACAAGAGCCUCAGUUUUAGCAGUACAACGGUUGCCCCGACCUUCAAACCGAAACGCAUUACAGCUUCACAGCAGAAUUAAGCAGGGUGGUGGUAUCAACCCGUGCGGAAUCGUGUGGAUCGGGAAUGUAGUUUCUGGCGGCCAUGACAAGAGGGUAUUCGUAUCGUGCCACUUUUUCGAAAUGGCGCAUUGAUGUCGACCUGGUGGCAAGUAGUCAUCGUCGCUCGUGGAUAUCAGUAAUGCCGUCACAGCCAAGUCGCUUCCUACCACUAAACGCUUUUCUUACUUAGUGCCCUAAUUUCAUAUCUAGCCUCAUAAUUCUCUUCUCGCUUAUCCAAAAUGUCUUAAGUAGCUCUACACGGAAGGUUGUGAUAAUCUCUUUGACGCGAAGCUUCAUGUUGUCCGACUUCAGGCCAAAGUGGUGGAUAUAUAUUGCCACGAAUAACAUCCAUCUAAAAAAUGCCAUCACAGUCGCAAAAUUUAAUAAAUUCGCGUAAAUAAAACUCGUGUUAGGCAAUGUUAUGACCCAGCAUGUAUAAGUACCAAGAAUUCGACUAUUUCUAACGAAGUGGCCAUAAAUUAAGAUUUGAAAGGUAGAACGGCUUUUACGCAAUAUGAUUGAGGUCUCAACUUCAAUCUCAUCAUUUAAGGUGACAGUAUUCAUAUUAACGUCAAUUGACAGAAGCGGCCAAUCUAAGCUCUCCAUCAAUUAUUUAAGAGACCCAAUGCAUAUGGACGUGAAUCCUAUAUUUCAACGUAGUUAGGGGAGUAUAAUUUCAACAACAGUACUAUUAUAACUACGGCUGUUAUAUAUCAUAUAUUAGAAACUAUGCUCUAUGACCCGAUUAUGUUUUGCAUAAACAUACUAAACACCCUUUUUAAAUCUCAGGUGAAAGGUUACCAGGUCGCUCCUGCUGAGUUAGAAGCAGUCCUCAAAGAGCAUGCUGACGUGUACGACGCGGCCGUUGUAGGAGUACCAGAUCCAAUCACGGGAGAGUCUCCCAGGGCUUUCGUGGUUCUCAACAAGGAUUCUAAAGUGGACGAAAAACUCAUUCUAGAUUAUGUUAGUGAGAAAGUGGCCGCUUUUAAAAGAUUAAAAAGCGUUACGUUCGUUGACAGUAUACCAAAAAAUCCAUCAGGGAAAAUACUGAGGAAAGUCUUGAAGGAACAAUAUUGUUGACUUUGAUGUAGUUUUAUAUUUUAAGUUUAUAUAUAUUAUCUUUAAAAAAUAAAGGGCGACCCAAAAUUAA